CAAUAGCGUAUAUUUAAGUUGUUGCAGUUAAAAAGCUCGUAGUUGGAUUUCGGGUUGGCUUCAGCGGUCUCGCUUUGCGUUUGUACUUCUGCAGCCUACCUUCUUGUCGGGGACGGGCCUUCGGGCUUAAUUGCUUGGGGCCCGGAGUCGACGAUGUUACUUUGAGUAAAUUAGAGUGUUCAAAGCAAGCCUACGCUCUGAAUAUAAUAGCAUGGGAUAACACGACAGGACUCUGGCCUAUCGUGUUGGUCUGUAGGACCAGAGUAAUGAUUAAGAGGGACAGUCGGGGGCAUUCGUAUUCCGUUGUCAGAGGUGAAAUUCUUGGAUUUACGGAAGACGAACAUCUGCGAAAGCAUUUGCCAAGGAUGUUUUCAUUGA
rnacentral:rRNA from 1 species